AUUGAACGCUGGCGGCAUGCCUUACACAUGCAAGUCGAACGGCAGCAUGAUCUAGCUUGCUAGAUUGAUGGCGAGUGGCGAACGGGUGAGUAAUACAUCGGAACGUGCCCUGUAGUGGGGGAUAACUAGUCGAAAGAUUAGCUAAUACCGCAUACGACCUGAGGGUGAAGGUGGGGGACCGCAAGGCCUCAUGCUUUAGGAUCGGCCGAUGUCUGAUUAGCUAGUUGGUGAGGUAAAGGCUAACCAAGGCGACGAUCAGUAGCUGGUCUGAGAGGACGAUCAGCCACACUGGGACUGAGACACGGCCCAGACUCCUACGGGAGGCAGCAGUGGGGAAUUUUGGACAAUGGGCGAAAGCCUGAUCCAGCAAUGCCGCGUGUGUGAAGAAGGCCUUCGGGUUGUAAAGCACUGUUGUCAGGAAAGAAAUGGCUCUUGUUAAUACCUGGGGUCGAUGACGGUACCGGAAGAAUAAGGACCGGCUAACUACGUG
rnacentral:rRNA from 1 species